GAAUCAACUGCAAUGCUCAUGCGCACCUCCGUGCCAUAACAUAGACUCUUCCCAAGAGUGCUCCGCAGCUCAACACCUCUGUGUCAACUCUAAGGCUUUGCCCCUCAAGCCAAGCACUGCUCAUCCCAAAUAUCUUGAUCCUCAACAUACCCUCGUGCCAAGACAUAACCACUGUGUCACUGAUCCGCAACCCACCAAGCUGCCCUUCAGUACUACACAUACCCAAUCCACAUAGCACGACCAUGCAAUGCCACCACUAUGCAUGAGGCCCGGGCAAACCCAUCUUUGAUGCAGCCCAGCUAAACUACCAAGCUGACAUGACCUGCAGCUCCCCCAAGCUACAGAUGAUCGUACACAUCCGAGUCCUCUGGGGUUCAACU
rnacentral:lncRNA from 1 species